rnacentral:lncRNA from 1 species
CUGUCAUGCAUAAUAUACAUACAUUUAGGUAUGGUAUAAGAUGUAUAGGUUUUGCAAGAGCCAAAAUGUAUGUAUAUGAUGUAUGCUAGAUGUAUGACAAAUGUGUGACAGAAAUGAGAAAUGGGCUUGCUGACUGGAAACUUCUCAAGUACUGGUGACUUGAGUUUUAAGAGUUAGAUGUGAAAAUGCUGUUGCUUUCUUCUGCAUUCUCCACAAACUUAUGAAGAAGCUAGACGAGGAGAACAUAAGUACAACUCAACCAUGUGUGCAACCACUGAAAUCGAAUCUGAGGAGGAAAAAGAAGAACGUGAAAAAAGAAAAACAAAGUAAGUGAUGUGCACUGAAAGUUACUUCUGUUCCUAACUAGUUAUUUAUUAUUAUUUAUUAUAAUUAAUAAUAAGAAGGUCACAGCAGCAUUAUUUUAUCUUGGCUUUGGCUUGAUAUAAAAUGGACUGAUUUUUUUUACUGUUUAUUUUUAUUCAGGCAAAAUCCACUGUAUAUGGACUCAGACUCUGAUGAGCCAUCUGGUGAACUGAAGAAACCACGUCUUUCACGCCCGCCUGAUGUGAGAGUUCCAGCAGCAUGGUCCUCACAACUGGCAAGAAAUAAAACGAUGGCAGCAUCCGCCAGCGGCGCUGGGCCAUACCACCAGCUGCAGGUCCCACAGAGAGGGGUACCAGUAUAUCACCAUAUGGUUCCGUGCACACCCCAUUUUGUGCCCCACAAUAUGCACAAAACGACCUUGCCAUCCAAAAGAUGACAAAAAUGCUUGCCGAAGUGCUGGUGGUUGUCAAUGAACUGUCAAGGGAUGUGCAGAUCAUGGGUGAAUUAGCAGAGGCUAGAAUGACCCCAUCUUGUGGACCAGGGCCAGCCACAAGCCAAGAGAUGUUCCCCAUUCAGCUGCCUAUCACCAACGAAGAUGACUUCAAUGAGGCCGAAACAUUGUUGGGAACUGAGCCAGUCCGACAAAAGAUGGUAAUUUGUUUGAUAAACUGAGCUGCAUAAUGAGACAUUCUGCAUAUUAGGUGGGGCCUUACCGGGCUUUACUGGGCCUUACCGCGCACCCCACCUCCCCCCCCUUAAUCCAACAAAAACAACUUUUUUUGAAAGGUCUGACCAUGCUGAACAUUGAUCAGAAUGGUAAGUAAGGGAUAAUGUAAAGAACGCCAGUCAUUAUCGGG